GGGUGAAUUUUCAUACCUGUCGUACAGAUUUUGAAAAGACUAAAAUUUGAAUUGCAUCUACAUGGGAGGAAUUGGCGCAUGUCUCCAUAUAUUCCUUCAAAAGUAGCAUAAAGUGUGAUUCGUCUGCCAUUGACAUUAAGUACUAUAUCAGUGGCAGCAAUCACAUCCAUUUGCAGUCUCUACGUGUCACACGUAAGCUAGUCUUCUGUUGAUGCAC
rnacentral:lncRNA from 1 species